rnacentral:misc_RNA from 1 species
UCAAACUUGGUCAUUUAGAGGAAGUAAAAGUCGUAACAAGGUCUCCGUUGGUGAACCAGCGGAGGGAUCAUUACCGAGUUUACAACUCCCAAACCCAAUGUGAACGCUACCAAACUGUUGCCUCGGCGGGAUCUCUGCCCCGGGCGCGUCGCAGCCCCGGACCAAGGCGCCCGCCGGAGGACCAAACCAAAACCCUUAUUGUAUACCCCCUCGCGGGUUUUUUUAUAAUCUGAGCCUUCUCGGCGCCCCUCGUGGGCGUUCCGAAAAUGAAUCAAAACUUUCAACAACGGAUCUCUUGGUUCUGGCAUCGAUGAAGAACGCAGC